GAUGAACGCUGGCGGCGUGCCUAAUACAUGCAAGUCGAGCGAAUGGAUUAAGAGCUUGCUCUUAUGAAGUUAGCGGCGGACGGGUGAGUAACACGUGGGUAACCUGCCCAUAAGACUGGGAUAACUCCGGGAAACCGGGGCUAAUACCGGAUAACAUUUUGAACCGCAUGGUUCGAAAUUGAAAGGCGGCUUCGGCUGUCACUUAUGGAUGGACCCGCGUCGCAUUAGCUAGUUGGUGAGGUAACGGCUCACCAAGGCAACGAUGCGUAGCCGACCUGAGAGGGUGAACGGCCCCACUGGGACUGAGACACGGCCCAGACUCCUACGGGAGGCAGCAGUAGGGAAUCUUCCGCGAUGGACGAAAGUCUGACGGAGCAACGCCGCGUGAGUGAUGAGGGCUUUCGGGUCGUAGAACUCUGUUGUUAGGGAAGAACAAGUGCUAGUUGAAUAAGCUGGCACCUUGACGGUACCUAACCAGAAAGCCACGGCUAACUACGUGCCAGCAGCCGCAGUAA
rnacentral:rRNA from 1 species